UACGUAGGGUGCAAGCGUUAUCCGGAAUUAUUGGGCGUAAAGAGCUCGUAGGCGGUUUGUCGCGUCUGCUGUGAAAACUGGAGGCUCAACCUCCAGCCUGCAGUGGGUACGGGCAAACUAGAGUGCGGUAGGGGAGAUUAGAAUUCCUGGUGUAGCGGUGGAAUGCGCAGAUAUCAGGAGGAACACCGAUGGCGAAGGCAGAUCUCUGGGCCGUAACUGACGCUGAGGAGCGAAAGCAUGGGGAGCGAACAGG
rnacentral:rRNA from 1 species